GUCUGCUGUGUUGUAUUAGGUCGUGUGUUUGUCUUGUGUGUUGCAAAUGUCGCAGGGCUGUGUAAAUUAUGUUUUUUGUGUAUUGUGCUGUGUCACCGGUGGUGUUGCGUCGCGCGGUGUUUGUGUGUUUGCAGUGUGCUUUGUGGGCUCGGCGUUUGUGUGCGCGUGGACGUGUGUGAGGUUUGUAUUUUGUCUUGCUCGUGCUGUUUUGAUCGUGUAGCGCCUGUAUUGGGCCACUAUGAAGUCGGCUGGUGUGUUGGUGACAUCUGCUGGACGCGAUCGAGCCACUUGUAUUUGAGAGAGUUGCGGCGUGUACGCUGAGCUACUUUUGUGAGAUAGUUUGCUCGUUCGCUUGUAUACAUUUGGCUUUUCGGUUUAAUUUCGCGCGUAUUCGUUUUUGGACUCGGUUUUACAUUCCGGUGUAAAUUAUUUACGAGCUAUUUGGCGCAAUCGCGGAUUUAGUUGUAAAUCCGCGGGACUGCUGGGCACCCGCGUUCGAACGUUUACGGUUCGGCAACCGCGAUUAAAACCACAGAAGAAGAAGGAGACCCGGAAGUGGCAGUCAAUCAAACUCGGCGGCAAAUUGGAAAGGAACAGAGGCGCCAUCUUUAAACAGCUUCCCAACUCGUCCGUUUCAACUUCACACUGGCAAGGUGACCGCGUUCACAUUGUUGUGGAACAACAAACGUUCCAAAGCUCGACGAGUGGGCGAGUUUGAGGAGCAACCAGUCGAGCUGCCAACCGACUUGAGAAUUACAGACUGACUUGACUGUGUCCUGGGACUACUAGCGAGUCAAAAGUCAGGUACUUUCUGGCGGCAGGGCGCUGCCGUGACAGACUUGGAUGCCAGUUGGCAGUCCAUCAUGAACUGCGCUUGCCUGCUCCUGUCAAAUCCCAUCAAGAGGAACGUCACUUCCCCCAAGCCCACCUCAUCUUAAUCGGUCACCACCAAGCAGAAAUGUCCUAAGAAGUCGACGGAUUGACACGUUUGCAUAUUUGAGGAGCCAUUCGGAGGUCCGGCGACGCGACGCUGCCAUCUGGCGGCCGCGAGCAGUGAUGCAGCACUCUGGCGUUUUCGAACAAUGGCGGCGGUGGCGUCUUGACGAGCAGUCCAUGGCAGAAGGUGUCCGCGAGCUUGGCGGAAAGCGUCGCCCCCAGGCCGGAUCCGGGCCCCCCGGCGGUUCCCCGAAUCAGCCUGGCUCAUGUCACGCUGCAGCAAACAGGUGAACUCUUUCUUUGACUUUUUUGUGAGCAUAUCAAUUAACUUACCUGAGCUGACCUUUAACUCUCUACUUUUUGUCUACUUUUUGUCCCAUUUGUUUUCUUUGUUUGUUUGAGAAACAAGAAGAAAUGAAACUGGCCAAUGUGUCAGCAGGGCAGAUUAUUUCAUGCCGCCUUUGAAGACCGUUCUGGAAAGGACGCAUUGGUGGAUGAACACGUACUGCUCCUCCGUCUGGACCAUGGACAGGCGGUGGGAGCGCAUCUCCGACACCAUCCCCAGGAUGUCGGCGAACUCGUGCUCCCGGAUGUGCUGCAUCAGGCGGUCCAACGCCAUGAAGGAAUGUAGUUGGCGUUGAUGUAGUCGGCGCCUUCGUCGUCGUGCAUGGAGAUCAGCCGGACGCGACUGAAGUCGUCUGGCCAAGGAAGAAACAUGCGGCUCGGUCGCUUGCGCUUCAGCUGCGCGAUGGGAGCCGCCGUUGCACAUUUGAGGACCCCCCCGGUGCCUUGAGGACCCUCGCUGAUAUUGAAGCUACCCGAUGCCUCUUGCGGAGAAGCAGCAAGAAGAGAAUCAGCAGGCUCAGCAGCAGGACGCUCAGGACGGCCAAGGCCCAGAUGGCCGCCACGCCGGGGUUGGUCUCUUUGGCUGCCCGCGUGCACGCACACCCGCAGGCGUUAGGGACACUAACUAACGCAUCCCGUCGUCGCCGUUUCGUUCAGGUUAGGCUCCUGUGUGUGCGGCAGCGCCCCCUACCGGCCGUGGUGAUGGUGAUGUGGGCGGGCUUGCCGGGCGCGCUGUAGCUGACGCCGACCACGCUGCAGUUGUAGCUGGACGACGGCAUCAGGCCGGAAACGGUCAGCACGUGCGAGCUGGACACCUGAGGCUCUCGAGUCUGAAGCGGACCCAGAAGGAGCAGCACCUGGUAGUGGUCCACGACGCCGUCCUCGCUCCACAGCAGAGUUACCGACGAGUGCGUGGCGUUGACGGCGUACACCGACCUGGGGGGCGCCGGUUCUGCGGUGAAAACACGCCGGACGUCAGAAUCGGCUCAAUCUCAUCGACGAUUAGCACGCGUGAAUGCUCGGACCCAGUUUGAUGACGCUGGGAAGGGACGUGUUGCGGCCGCGCUCGGCGUACGCCGUCACCGUCAGGUUGUAGAUGUCGCCGGGCGGCAGGGGCAGGCCGGCGCUCAUCACGUUGCGAGGAACCUGGCAAGCACGCGUUCACGGCUUUCAAGUUGACACGCUACGCCCGGCGCAGGACGUUGGCACUAAACGAGUCGACGACACCAUCUAUCGGAGAAGCGAGCUCUUCCGAGACGCAACGAGAAGAGGACAAAAGGGAAAACUCGACGACAAGAGGAGAGAACAAGCCGAGGGUGAACCUUGUAUCGGACGUCGGGACAAAACCGGUUCAAGCUCGUCCGGGAGAAAGAAGUCGAAACUCAAGAGGAUAAACAUUGAGGAGGACAAAAGUAGAAGAGAAAAAACUAGUGGAGAAGAAAAGAAAGUGAGCCCUCACGUCCGUCGAGAAGCGUCUCCCGGGACCUUUCUUGCCGACCGCCGCCACCUGCCAGUGCGUAAUCCUGGAGUGCGACAGGUCCACGAAGAGUUCCCCGUAUGUCCAGCGAACAUGGAGGACGCCGUGGGAGUAAUCCGCCACCGAGAUGUGAGGCGCCUCCGGAGCUGUGCGACGAAAGACAACAACGCUCGUGAGUGCGGGGGAGUGGGGGUGGUAUGCCUCUGGUGUGGGUACCUGUGACAAAGCUGAUGGUGGAGCCAUCGCAGCAACUGAGUGGUGGGUCGCCCCACGUCACCAUGGUAACGCGGAAGUUAUAGUGCCAAGCCGGCAGCAGAUCGGUCACCCUCUAAAAAGGAAGACAACGCCUUGAGAUCAUCAACCCCAGACCUGACCCCAGGUUAGUUGGUGGCACAUUUGGAGGUGUUUGCUUUUUUUUGGGUGGGGGGGUCAAUUCUUAUUCUUUGAAUGUAUUGAUUUUUACCACUGAUGCUCUGACGGAGGCGGUGGCGGCAAUCUCGUAGUACGUGGUCCACUCGGAGCUGAGGGUGACGGGGUUGAAGAAGAAGGUCUGGAGGACAUACUUGCGGAAGGCCACGUGAGACGGACGCUGCCAGCUCAAGACCACCGCCGUGGGGCCCAGCGGGUACGCGGCCAGCUCUCGGACGCCCGUGGGCUCUGGCGCGACAACGGCCCAUCGUCACAAUCGUCAUUGAUCUCUGCCGCGAUGGAUUUGUUGCAAAAGUGGAACGGAGGCAAAUGGACUCGUUGGUCCUUGACUUUUCUCCAGUUUGGGUGACCUCUCUACCCGAAGAACAUCUCGGAUAACCAAGAGGAGUCCAGUUGCCUCGACGUGGCAAUGUGAUGCGAGCGCAAAUCACCAAUAUCCAUGACGACGGGUUCCGAGGGAGGACUGAUCAGGGGUCCGUUUGUGUGGUAGACCAGCACCCGGUACUGAGCCCCCGGAGUCAAGUUGCCGAUGAUAUCGCUGGUUGAGUUUUCCUGUCCAAAAGCGCGGCGAUGUGAGCCUUUCAAAGUCCGAGCAGGAAGUGAGUUGGCGGGAGGCGUUACCUCGCCGCAGUAGUCGCUUUCCAUCCUUUGGUUGGGGCCGGGCUUCAGGCAGGUGGUGGACACCACCGACACCACGCUGCCGUCGUGGGUCUCCGGGGACUGCGCCCAGGAUACGGCGGCCGUGCUGGAGUCCAGCAAGCGCACCGUGACUUUCCGUGGACGCUGGCGUAGCUCACGCAGGACCUCGCCGUCGGGACCUGGGAAACAAAACUCCAAGUCAGGCGAGGAUGGCGGCCGAACUUUGUUAGGCGGAGCCCAAGUCAUCCAUACUCGUAUGUCACGACCUUGUUUAUCCGAGUUGCCUGUUCUUACGAUACGAGGGUCGCCUGUACGACCGGAGACAAAUUCCACGUGCGUUCUGACAAUACUUGGCCGAUAAAGAUGAUUCUGAUUCUUUUGAUUGACGUUUAGUUGUGAGCAAGCGGCAAGCAAGACCGGUCACGUAAAAUGACAUCGAGGGCCAGAUCGGAGCUCGUCUGGGGUACUUGGGAAACCGGAGGUCCACGGCGACACACCGAGGUAGAAGCUCGGCGAAGAACUCAUGAGUACUUUCAU